rnacentral:sRNA from 1 species
GCGGAAUCGAAAUGCACGUGCACGUCGAUGGCCCCGGGCGUCGCGAUCAGGCCCUCGCAGUCCCGCACCGUCGUCCCGGCCGACACGAUCAGGCGCGGGUCGACGCCGUCCAUGAUCGCCGGGUUGCCGGCCUUGCCGAGCGCCACGAUCCGCCCGUCCUUGAUGCCGAGAUCGCCCUUCUGGAUGCCGAGGACGGGGUCGAUCACCACGACGUUGCACAGGAGGAAGUCGAGCGCCCCCUGCGCGGCGGU